rnacentral:rRNA from 1 species
CACGCCCUAAACGAUCUUCACUAGCUUUUCGGAGUAUCGACCCUCUGAGAGGCGAAGCUAACGCGUUAAGUGAAGCGCCUGGGAAGUACGGCCGCAAGGCUAAAACUCAAAGGAAUAGACGGGGACUCGCACAAGCGGUGGAUUAUGUGGUUUAAUUCGUAGGUAAACGAAGAACCUUACCAUGUCUUGAAACCUAAGUGAAAGCUCUAAGAAACUAGAGCCCUCGCAAGACUCUUAGGCAGGUGU